rnacentral:rRNA from 1 species
GCUCAGCCGUAAACAAUUAAUUUACACCAAUCAGCGCCAGGGAAUUACGAGCCAUGCUUAAAACCCAAAGGACUUGACGGUGUCCCACCCCCCUAGAGGAGCCUGUUCUAUAAUCGAUGAUCCCCGCUAUACCCUACCAUUCCUCGCCUCAGUCUGUAUACCUCCGUCGAAAGCCUACCCUGUGAACGCCCAGUAAGCCCAAUGACCCCCCUCAACACGUCAGGUCAAGGUGCAGCUCACGGAAUGGAAAGUAAUGGGCUACAAUUUCUAACAUAGAACAAACGAAAGACCAUGUGAAACCAUGUCACGAAGGUGGAUCUAGUAGUAAAAAGAAAAUAGAGUGUUCUUUUUAACCCGGCUCUGGGACGCGUACACACCGCCCGUCACCCUCUGAGUCAA